UUAAUUGAAGAGUUUGAUCAUGGCUCAGAUUGAACGCUGGCGGCAGGCCUAACACAUGCAAGUCGAGCGGCAGCACAGAGGAACUUGUUCCUUGGGUGGCGAGCGGCGGACGGGUGAGUAAUGCCUGGGAAAUUGCCCGGUAGAGGGGG
rnacentral:rRNA from 1 species